UUUGGCCCUCAAGGUUUUGGAAUUUGAGCCUUUGAAAAACAGGGUUACUGGACUCGAGUAAAUGAAGUGUCUGGAUGUCAGUGAUGAUUCAUAAAAGCAAUUAAAAAAAGGAAAGUGCUUUUCCUCUGAGCGUAAUGUCUUGGUUUGAAGAUGCCCUAAAAGUGAGCGUGUGCUGCUCUGUUUCCAGCAUAACAUUUCUUAUCCUGUGGUUCUGCUGAUACAAACCAAAUUUUUUUGGUCACAGAACAGUCGGGGUUGGAAGGGACCUCUGGGGUCACCCAGUCCAACCCCUCUGCCCAGGCAGGGUCACCUGGAGCAGGUGACACAGGAACGUGUCCAGGUGGGGUUGGGAUGUCUCUAGAGAGGGAGACUCCAUGCCCUCCCUGGGCAGCUGUUCCAGUGCUCUGCCACCCUAAAUUCUUCCCCAUGUUGGGCUGGAACUUGUUAUGUUUUCCUUUAUGGCCGUUGCUCCUCGUCCUGUUGGUGGGAACCCCCAAAAAGAGUCUGGCACCAUCCUCUUGGCACCCACCUUGGAGAAAUUCAUAUGUAUUUACAGCUGAAUCUUUCUUAUUUGGUUUCUAUUUCAAUAUAGUUCACAUUUCUUCCUUCUUAAAUUUGAGGAAAAACUCAACCAAGGAUGUAAUAUUUUCCAUGGGAGAAAUGUGGUUGUUGCAACAUAAAUGUUGGAGGCGACAGAGGAUUGAAAUUCAUCAAAUAGGAUUUUUUUUUUUCCCCACAGUGCUGCUCUCUGGCAUUUCUGAGCUGCCCCAAACAGGAGACACCUCAUUUGUACAGCUUUAAACUGAUUUUCAGGGAGCAAGAGUGAACUCUGUUAAAACAGGAUGAAGGUUAUGGUUGUAUACAAAGAUCCAUCAGCGUGGCCACGUUACCUAAGCAGGAAGCAGACCCCGAGCCAUGCCCUAGAAGCUUCCUACAUGGCUUUUCAAGCCAUCCCAACCAACCUGUUACCUGGUAGGGAUGGUUAUUAGGCUGUUUUAGAGCAGGCACUUCCAGUCUUGCUUCCUUCUCCAAGUGGAUGCCUCGUGCUUCUCUUGAACAUAUUGAAGUCAGGGCUUCCCUUUGCUUUGCCCUCACAUCCUGGUCAUCCCUGGGAUACAUGCUAAGGGAAGCAAAAUAGUUUACUGAUUUAUCAUGGAUCAUUAGGUGGAGUAACUAUUCUUAAAACAUCACCAGUAUGGAUACAAUAAUUAGAGAUGUGCUUUUGUUAACACUGCCAGCCUCUACCCUCUUGUACAGUACCCUUGGGUACUAAAUAAUUACCCACUUUGUGUGGUUAUCUAGCUCACUAAUUACCCACAAAAAUUGGGGUCAGGUGUUAACUGCUUGAAAUAAGUAUCCUCCGAAGGCUUGGUAAAAUUGUAUAAAGAAAUUAUGUGUUUGCUACAAAACUUUAAAAAAAAAAUCAAACAUUUUUUGGGGGGAAGGAAGAUAAGGGAAGUGGAAGGAGACAAUGGAUGCAGAAUGUUCUGUGUGAUGGCAAAAUCUUGCUGUGAUGGUGAGGGAAUCUAAGGGGAGUGAAAGGAUGGUUGGCAGAUAGAGUCUCUAAUCCAGUCUACUUUUCCCAAAGAUUAGAUCCUUCAGUACACAGGGUUGGAUUCUUCCCCUAUCUAGGCUGAUGCCAAUCAGGAUUAUGCUGGUAUAAAUAAGAAAAUUUGUAUCUGUGGAUUCCCAGACUGACUUUGCUGCAUAAUCCCACCUCUUCCAUCACCCAGGGACUUCUGCAUUGCACCCAAUAAUUUAAUUAUGUAUUGUAUACUUAUUUCCAUGCGUUUAUUUUAGCUGUGUGCAUGCAGAAUUUCACUCUGAGGCUGCUGCUCAUAAAAUGCAGUUUGCUUGGAGCAAUAAUUUGAUUCCUGUGCUCAGGGAGUUACCCCAGUGAGUCAAAGAUUUCUAGAUAGCCCCACCCUCCCCAACUUCCCGAACACUUACACUGCAGCCACUUUCCCUUUGCCAGACCCACACAAGAUGUCUAACUAGCCAAAAUCCCAAGAGGCAAUCCCAGUCUCCUGCCUCCCCUGUUUCAGCCCCAGAAAACUAGGAAAUAAAGCCACAGAAGCCCUAAAGCCCUUGAAACACCCGGCACGUGUAGCAGAGGGAUGUUUAAUAGCCCGUCUUCCUAACCUGGUUUCUUGCAUAGGUGCUCUCUGUCUUCAGUACAAAGGAAACAGAUUCCAGUGGGAGCUGAGAAGGUGUUCCUAAAAAUCCUUUGGACCCAUCCCAGGGUCUUUGGAUGCCCGGAUACCUUUAAUUCCUCGGCGUCUCUGCAGUGCACAGCGCAACAAAGAAACUGCCUUUAUUUAUUGCUGUAUUUUGUGGUAGGUGCUUCGUAGCCAGAAGCACCUUCUGUUCCUACACGAGCACCUUUUGGAGCCUGUGUGGAUUCAGGGAUUAGAAAUCACCAGCCUGAACGCUUGGGCAAACGGGGGGGGGUGUCUCAGGAAGGCCCCCAGGACGAGGUGUGUGCUCGCCCUCGGGGGUACCUGCGCCCCGCAUUGUGUGGAGCAUCCCUGGAAAACGCAGGGAUCAGCCUCCUAAGGCACAAUGCAGAUUUAGUCGUCAUCUUUGUCUCUCCCCCCCCCCCCCCCCCCCCCCCCGCUCUGCUCCCCGCUGAUGUUAACUGUCUGUAUUAUUAUUUAUUGUUAUCAGGGGAUUUGGUUUGAUCAAUGAAGUGUAUAUGCGUCUGACGGACAUUGGGAGAGGAAAUGCUUGGAGAAUGAGUAACAUGUCUGCAGUGGAGGGUGUGUGUGAGGGAGAGGGAGAGCGAGCAUCGCUACUAGAAACAUUGACUGAUGAGUUCAUUUUAAAAUCCAAGGGCAUAUAGCUGGUAAAUUAGCACAUAUUGCAAAUAUAGUCUGGUGCGAGAGGCAGCAGUGCUGCCAUUGAGCGGAGGGGUGGGUGUGGAGGGGAAGGGGGGGGUCGAGGAGAGGAGGUUGUCAGCUCUAAAGUCAUCACGGGCAUGAGCCAGGCAGUCUGCCCUGCCUCACUGCAGACGCGGGGCGUGCGAUUUCCACGGGCGGCUGCGGCGCGGCGGAGGGGGGGAGCGGGGGGCACCCGGGAGAGCAGCAGCGCUGGAUUUUAUUGUUUUAAAAUCCAGAGCCAGCCGGAGGGAUGCAAGGCGAAGGGCUGCAGCCCCUCCGCUUCCCCCUCUCCUUCCCCCCUCCGGCCCCCCGGCACCCCCUUAGGAAGGCGGCGUGGGGCGGGAGCGGCUGCCCGGAGGGUCCCGGGGCUGGUACCCGGCGGGGAUGCGGCGGGGACGGGGAUGCGCCGGCGGGUUUCUCCCGGGAGCUUAAGAGAUUAUUGGGGAGGGGUGACCGGGAAUGGUGUGUGCGAGCGUGUGAGUGUGUGUGUGUGUGUGUGCGGGGCUGGCGGCGGGGGGAGCCGAGUCCUUAUUCUGUUAAAGAUUUAAGUAGGCAUGCAAGGAAUCUCUAGGAUAGUUGGCAAAGGGCGAGGGUGGGGAGGGGGGGGGAAGGAUCCAAAAGAGUCUGUAACCAGACACUGAAGCUUUCCAGGAGUGAGAGUGUGUGAGAGAGACGGAGACAGAGCGAGAGGAAGAGAGGGGGCAGUGUGGUCUAGUACAUUUUCAUCUGGUCGUUGAUUUGAGCCUGAUGCUUGCUGUCCCUCAACAGCCUCCCUUGCCUGGAUUUUUUCUUUCCCUCUCCUCUCCUUUCCCUUCUACUUCAUCGAAGCCUAGGGGAGCCAGGAAAGAUUAAAUGUGCUUUCGAAAAGGCAGCCACUUCAUGCAGCUAUGUCUGCUCCCCCCCACUCCCAGCCACCCCCCCCCACUCCCCCUUUUUGAAAUAAAAAAAAAAAAAGGAGAGGGGGAGACAGAGAGGGGGAGAAGGAAGGAGGAGGAAGAGGAGGACUAUAGUUUAAUGAUGUCGGGACUGGCUGAUGCAGAAGGAGAAAAAAAUAGAAAAAAAAACUAAAAAAAAAAAAUAGAAAAAAAAAAAGAAAAUAUUUGAGCUCCUGGACGAGGAAGGACUUUGGUGAAUGGGCUCAGACUCCUGAGUUAUGGUGCAUUUGACUCCCUGGACUACCCAGACAAGUAAAGCUGUGGGGUAAGAUGUUCCAGUUUGUGAUUUUUUUAUUUGUUGUUGUACAUGGAAGGGAGAACUUACAGGCUCACCCUGAAACUGCAGUGUCCCAGCAUGUGGAGAGAGACUUCUCCCUGCUCAGAAAGAGGUGGGGACUCAUUUAUUCGAGGUAGAUGGAAGGAAUAGGAGGGGAAAAGGCACCUAAAAGUGAUUUGCCCAAGGAAGCACAUUAUUAGCAAAGCAGUAAUUCAUGUCUCCUGGUUUACAGGGCUCUACUUAAUGGCAUAUAUUCUUCCUCUGUGGAACUUUCCUGCUUGGGCAUAAGAUUAAUAACUUAAUUAUGGCUCCUGAUAUGCCAGGAGACCCUCUCAUGUACCUCAGAUGGAACCAUGAAAGAAUAUGUUAUUUCUGUGAGCAAGUCAUGCCUUUUUGCCCUUCUGUUUUUCUGUCAUUCACCCAAUGCUCUGGCAACUGUAUUUGAUAUGAGAGGGCAUUAAAACCAAUUAAAAGAUGAAAGAUGAGCCUCUGAUUUACAUGGUGACUGUGGAAGGCUGAGACUGCUGCAAUUGUUUUCAUUUAACAGCUCUUCCCACACUGCAGUCAGUGAAUCUCUAAUCUCCUGGACUGAAAUGUCUGACACUUUCAGAAUCAUUUAUUUGCUGGCUCUUGUGUCUGUGUGGUGCUCCCAGAGCUCCACCCACAGCGGUGUCUCAGCAGUGGGCUGAUGGUAUAUUGGAUAUAAAUGUAUGUUCUUUAAGGGGGUGGGGGGGGAUAAAAGGCUGAACACGGGCUUUGCUGUGCAAUAUGUGCCAUCCUUUAAAUAAGGGGUAACUGCAGCAGCAAGUGUUGGAGGAUGGCUUGGGCUUCUGAGACACAAGGAGUAGAUUAACCCUGGCACAGUUUAUUCCUUGCUGCUGACCCUCAACCAGCACCACUGAGCACAACCUGGUGCUAUUUGCUGUUGUGUUCCUCUGGAAGAUGGACAGAAGGGAUGCCCUUUGGUGUCCUGUGUGGCAAAGAGGAGGAUAAGCUCAGUCAGCUCCUGAGAGAAGUCUCCAAACUGCUCCCUCUGGCUGCUCCAAGAAGCUGAACCUCUGGCUUCUGUUCCCUGGAAGCUGUGUCUGGUGAUCACAGGCCACUUGACUGCCCUGCUGGUAACUUCACUUUUAAGAUGAAUUAUGCAAGAAAUGCUGUGAAGCAUCAGAAAUGCUGAGGAUUGAGAAGAGUCCUCCCAGUGCAUGAACUCGUUUCUGAAUCAAGCCCGAGACUCACCUGGAUUCCACCUCCUCCAGAAAGGACAAAAAAAGGGGAAAAGGGAUCAAAAAUCAAUCAGAGGACUUUGGUUUUGCUGUGUUUGUAUCAUGUCUGAACCUGCAAAGAGUAUCCUUGGUUAUUCCCAAGGAAUCCAGUAAAUGGUGACUCUGUCAAUCA